GUAUUCUGCGCCAAGAUGAGUAGUACACAACACAGCAAGAGUGCAAAUCAUAUAUUAAAGAACUAUGCGCCACCAGGAUGCCCCAUGCUUAUGCUUGUGAGAAAUUAUAUGAGGUUGCAGUUUGACAGGGAAGUAGAAGAGAAGUACGAGGAGAAGCGGACGAGAAUUGUAAUAUGGUUUCAUUAUUUACUAUACAAAUAUUUAGUUGUGUUUGACAUGGACCAUCAUGGGUGCAUUGCAAGGUUUGAUAACUGUUGCCAAUUCAGAAGGGGGAUUUGCCUCAUUGAAGAUACAGAUAAAUGA
rnacentral:rRNA from 1 species